rnacentral:misc_RNA from 1 species
GAUGAAGAACGCAGCGAAAUGCGAUACUUGGUGUGAAUUGCAGAAUCCCGUGAACCAUCGAGUCUUUGAACGCAAGUUGCGCCCGAAGCCAUUAGGCCGAGGGCACGCCUGCCUGGGCGUCACACGUCGUUGCCCCCCCAUCUACUCCUUCGGGAUUGCGGGGGGCGGAUGAUGGACUCUCGUGCGCCUCGUCGCGCGGUUGGCCUAAAUGCCAAGUCCUCGGCGACGCACGCCACGACAAUCGGUGGUUGCGAAACCUCGGUUGCCUGUCGUGUGCGGUCGUCGCGCAUCGAGGGCUCGAAAAAAUUGCCGGGCUUCGGCUCGACUUUCAACGCGACCCCAGGUCAGGCGGGGUUACCCGCUGAAUUUAAGCAUAUCAAUAAGCGGAGGA